AUCGCUUCUCGGCCUUUUGGCUAAGAUCAAGUGUAGUAUCUGUGUUGCAGGCACUGUGCUAGGCAUUGGGGCUGCCACAGGGAACACAACAGAUAAAAAUUUCU
ensembl:snRNA U2 U2 spliceosomal RNA